CAGCAGCCGCGGGAAUACGUAGGUGGCAAGCGUUGUCCGGAAUUAUUGGGCGUAAAGGGCUCGCAGGCGGUUUCUUAAGUCUGAUGUGAAAGCCCCCGGCUCAACCGGGGAGGGUCAUUGGAAACUGGGAAACUUGAGUGCAGAAGAGGAGAGUGGAAUUCCACGUGUAGCGGUGAAAUGCGUAGAGAUGUGGAGGAACACCAGUGGCGAAGGCGACUCUCUGGUCUGUAACUGGCGCUGAGGAGCGAAAGCGUGGGGAGCGAACAGGAUUAGAUACCCCCGUAGUCCCUGUCUCUUAUAC
rnacentral:rRNA from 1 species